UAUGGCUUUCUGGGGUGGUCCAAAGAAUUUUUUGAAGAGAGGGCACAAAGUCAGAAGGGAAUACAAUACCAGGAGAAAAGGGUGUAAUAACAUUAUGUAGAAGGGUGCACUUCUUUUCUUGAGGGGGAAGGGGCA